UCGUCAUGGGCGGCGCCGUCGUCGGCAGGGCCGUGGUCCAGGCCUACCGCCAGGCAAUCGUCAAUUAUGAAGAUGUGUCCAUCCGGAGCCAUUAAAACAAUAUGCUACAUAUACUGGAGUAAUCCAUUGGAGUUUUUGCGAUGCUUGCUCUAUUCGGCUUUGAGUUCGAGUUCGCUAAUCUUGUAUUCUGUUUUCUCUGUAUUAAAUAAAGUGGUUGAGGAUAUUCAACAAAUUGGUGUCGCAGGUUCUCAGUUCAUGGAAUCAUUGGUUGGAUCUUCUUCCAAUGCCACAACACGUGGAUGGACACUGUAGAAAAAAUAUGUGAGCCGUUUUGCUGCAAUCUAUCCAUACUGCCCAGCGCAUGUUAUAGCAGCCAAUUAAUAGAAGCUAUAACUACAAAAGUAACAGCAGCCUGUUGGUACUCUUUUAUGAUGUCUACUUCCGACUGAAUAUUGGUCGGCAUUACAAAGCUAGGCACCUGAGCUAUUUACAGGAGGGGACCCGACCUUCUUCAUGUUCCGCGGUAGUGUCUUCCUUUGAUUCGUUCGUGCAACAAGGAGGGGACCUGGCCUUCUUCACGUCUCGUGCAACAACGGUGAUGGACAUUGACUACGACAGCCUGGUGGGCGUUGUGCUCUUCAACCACUCAGAGGUGGACUUCGCCGUGAAGCCUGGCGACCGCGCCGCACGGAUGAUCAUCGAUGUGAUCGCGACGCCGGAUGUCGCCGAGGUGGAGGACCUCGAUGCCAUCGUUCAGGGUGUGAGGGAGGAUUUGGGUCCGCCGGCGUCUGAACUCCAAGCCUUGCUAGAUACAUGUAGAGAAGUGGUCUGUUUAGGCUGGUGGUGGAACAUUAGGGAAGGUACCCACCUUUGGUUGUGUGUGUUUAAUUUAUUUUGCACUGGACGUGUCCCUGAUUUCUAUCUAUGAAUAACGUAUGUAAUUUUUAUUUUUUUAAUUCAUAAUUUGU